GGAAGGCAUUCAGGGAUGAGUAAAAGCCCACUAGGUGGCAUAGGAUUUGAGAAGUGGGCGGUGGCUACUCUGAGCAGAUGGCCCAGCCAAGGGAAAAAGACCUGAUUUAAGCUGAAGUGUGGGGACACGGCCCUGGAGAGUUCUGAGUAGGAGAAACUUGGCCUGGCAAUACCCUAAUAGGAGGAUCAGAUAAGGGAGUACUUGAGAGAUGCAUAUUCAGCACUGGGGCCUUAUUCUUUUCCCAACACUUUUCAAGCCUUCUCAAACACCAGCCUCAGCUGGACGAGGCCUGACUGUAACAGCUUGCUGAUUGAUAUCUGCUGAUGCCUCUCUUCGUUGAAAAGGCACAGGCCUGAAGGGCUGGGGUUUUCUACAGCACAAGGCACCAUGACAAUGGAGGAAGAUGGAUCUUCCUUUCAAUCCACCCCAGUAAGACGUGAUCUGAAGUAGAAUAUACAGGCCACCCUGGAAAUAGCAUUUAAAAGCUUCAACUCUCAUCACGGUUCAAGAUGGCCGUGACUUCGAUGACAUCUUGAGGGUUAUCGCUGAGGCUCAGUGUCUGCAUUUCAAAUCCACUGCUCCUGGAGGCUAUCUUUUCCUUCUGUUGCCCUUGUUUAUCAUUGUUGUUGGAUAAGACAUGGAGAAAUCAAGAGAGGAGGGGAGACUGAGAGGGGUAGAGAAAGACACCUGUAGACCUGCUUCACCUCUUGUGAAGCGAGCCCCCUGCAGGUGGGGAGCCAAGGGCUUGAACCGGGAUCCUUAUGCAGGUCUUUGUGCUUUGCACCAUGUGCACUUAACCCACUGUGCUACUGCCCAGCUCCCCAUAAGAGUAUUUCUAAAGGUUAAUGUUACAGAAAACAAAUGCUUAAGAGUCUUCUAUUGAAUUUUAUUCUGAAUUAAUGCUAUACUUGCUAUGUACUUACAAAAAUGCAAUGAAAAACAUAUAAGGAAAUUUCAAAACUAACCUUGUCAGACAAAGUAAGGACUACAAAGCUGAAUAAGGGCAAGAGACUGGCAUACUUUAAUGACUCUUUAGUCACUACCAGGCCACCCCAUCACCUGGGGUCCUACUCAGAGAGUCCUGGGAUUCCCAAACAGACAUCAUGAUGGGCCUAGACCUCUAGCAGGUCCCUCUUACCACUGUCACUGGUCAUCUCCAUCAGGAACAACAUAACGGACCCCUUUGUGGGCCCCUAUCCGACCUGGCCCUCAAUGUGAAUCAACAAUGGUAGGGAAUAUUCCACUCUCUGAAAGGGGGGGUGGAUAGCAUACUCUGCCUAUCACCCGAGGAUGAUGGGUCCUGAAAUUGGCACAGCCUAGAAUGUUCCUACCCGUGACCACGGAAUGUGAUCUAAAACCUACAGGGAUGCAGAAGUUACAUAGGCUCCUGGGCUAACUAUGGGCCCCCGAUCAAAUGGUGGGGUUUACAGUUAACAAUCUUUAUGCAUUUUCCCCAUAUUUGGGAGCUACUCUCUUCCCUGAUCCAGCUUUCUGGUCCUUUUUCCAACUAUGACACCAUUCCUCCAGACAAUAACUUAGGUCACUUGCAUAUUAGAUGUCAGGCACAGGCAAAAACUAGUUAGGUCAUGGGCCCCUUGGAAUAUACCUAAACUAGACCUACUAGCUUUUUCCAAAAUAGAGACCCCAAAUCUUCAUCUGCAAUAUUCCAGCGUGUAGGUUCAUGAUUCGUCAACAAUUUGCUCUGCUUUCUAUCUUAACUUUUUUUCAGCCACCGGGUUCCAGAUGCUACCAUGAUGCCAACCGGACUUCCCAGGGCAGACGACCCCACCAAUGUGUAUUGGAGCUCCACUUCCCCAGAGUUCUGUCCCACUAGGGAAAGAGAGAGAGACAGGUUGGAAGUAUGGAUCGACCUGUCAAUGUCCAUGUUUAGUAGAGAAGCAAUUACAGAAGCUGGACCUUCCACCUUUUACAUCCCAUAGUGACUCUGGGUCCAUACUCCCAGAGGGUUAAAGAAUAGGAAAGCUAUCAGGAGAGGGAAUGGGAUACAGAAUUCUGGUGGUGGGAAUUGUGUGGAA